rnacentral:rRNA from 1 species
UACAGAGGUCUCAAGCGUUGUUCGGAUUCAUUGGGCGUAAAGGGUGCGUAGGCGGCGCGGUAAGUCGGGUGUGAAAUCUCGGAGCUUAACUCCGAAACUGCAUUCGAUACUGCUGUGCUUGAGGACUGGAGAGGAGACUGGAAUUUACGGUGUAGCGGUGAAAUGCGUAGAUAUCGUAAGGAAGACCAGUGGCGAAGGCGGGUCUCUGGACAGUUCCUGACGCUGAGGCACGAAGGCCAGGGGAGCAA